rnacentral:rRNA from 1 species
AGAAUUCCAGGUGUAGCGGUGAAAUGCGUAGAGAUCUGGAGGAAUACCGGUGGCGAAGGCGGCCCCCUGGACAACGACAGACGCUCAGGUGCGAAAGCGUGGGGAGCAAACAGGAUUAGAUACCCUGGUAGUCCACGCCGUAAACGAUGUCGAUUUGGAGGUUGUGCCCCUGAGGCGUGGCUUCCGGAGCUAACGCGUUAAAUCGACCGCCUGGGGAGUACGGCCGCAAGGUUAAAACUCAAAUGAAUUGACGGGGGCCCGCACCAGCGGUGGAGCAUGUGGUUUAAUUCGAUGCAACGCGAAGAACCUUACCUGGUCUUGACAUCCACAGAACUUUCCAGAGAUGGAUUGGUGCCUUCGGGAACUGUGAUACAGGUGCUGCAUGGCUGUCGUCAGCUCGUGUUGUGAAAUGUUGGGUUAAGU